GCUCCGCUCUUGGCAUUCACCGCGUGCCUUAAUUGUAUGACAUUAAAUCAAGGUCCGCUGUGAACACGGAGGGCAGAGCC
rnacentral:pre_miRNA from 6 species